UGGGCCUGUGGUACAAUAUUCGAUUCUCUAUUUGCACCAGUGUAAAAAGGGAUAUGGAAGUAAUUCUGUGUCUGUCCAAGAGAGCCUUAUAGAGGUAGCCUGUACCCCAAUUAGAGAGAGCCAUUCCGCCAAGCUCUUUACCCAGGAACUAUACUCAGCAUCUCAGCAUCAAGCCACCAUAGCUUUGAACUGCCUGCGAGCAUCUGUGGUUUACCUCGGUUUAUUUUGUGCGUCCUUCGGCAAGAUGUAUCCUAAGGCGUUUUAAAGAUAAAUGGUAAAACUGAACUGGAAAUCCAUCUGGCUGGCUGCCGGCUCUAAUGAAUAACCCCACUUUGGCGCGUGCAAUGUAAGCAGAAAGUUCUCUCCCGGCCUCUUUUGUCUGUCAUGAAUCUACGAGACAGCCGACAUAAUAUCUGGGCGACAACGGUGCGCUAACAGUGCAGUGACUUCCAUUUUCUUUGCUUUCUAUUGAUUUUCACUUAAUAACUGGCGAAAUACUAAACGUCCGCCCUGAGUACCUAAUAAAUCCUGCCUGAGCUUUUUAUUGAGGAGAAUU
rnacentral:lncRNA from 1 species